AUUGCGAAGGCAGCUUUCUGGAUCAUUACUGACACUGAGGAACGAAAGCAUGGGUAGCGAAGAGGAUUAGAUACCCUCGUAGUCCAUGCCGUAAACGAUGUGUGUUAGACGUUGGAAAUUUAUUUUCAGUGUCGCAGGGAAACCGAUAAACACACCGCCUGGGGAGUACGACCGCAAGGUUAAAACUCAAAUGAAUUGACGGGGACCCGCACAAGUAGUGGAGCAUGUGGUUUAAUUCGAAGAUACGCGCAGAACCUUACCAACACUUGACAUGUUCGUCGCGACUCUAAGAGAUUAGAGUUUUCGGUUCGGCCGGACGAAACACAGGUGCUGCAUGGCUGUCGUCAGCUCGUGUCGUGAGAUGUUGGGUUAAGUCCCGCAACGAGCGCAACCCUCACUUUUAGUUGCCAUCAUUAAGUUGGGCACUCUGAAAGAACUGCCAGUGAUAAGCUGGAGGAAGGUGGGGAUGACGUCAAGUCCUCAUGGCCCUUACGUGUUGGGCUACACACGUGCUACAAUGGCAUCUACAACAGGAAGCAAAACGGCAACGUUAAGCAAAUCCCGAAAAGAUGCCUCAGUUCGGAUUGCACUCUGCAACUCGAGUGCAUGAAGCUGGAAUUACUAGUAAUCGUGGAUCAGCGUGCCACGGUGAAUGCGUUCCCGGGUCUUGUACACACCGCCCGUCACACCAUGGGAGUUGGUUCUACCUUAAGGCAAGGUUUCAAACCCUUGACCACGGUAUAGUCAGCGACUGGGGUGAAGUCGUAACAAGGUAACCGUA
rnacentral:rRNA from 1 species